rnacentral:rRNA from 1 species
CCUACGGGAGGCUGCAGUGGGGAAUAUUGGACAAUGGGGGCAACCCUGAUCCAGCCAUGCCGCGUGUGUGAAGAAGGCCCUCGGGUUGUAAAGCACUUUCAGUGAGGAAGAACGCCUGGUGGUUAAUACCCAUCAGGAAAGACAUCACUCACAGAAGAAGCACCGGCUAACUCCGUGCCAGCAGCCGCGGUAAUACGGAGGGUGCGAGCGUUAAUCGGAAUUACUGGGCGUAAAGCGCGCGUAGGUGGCUUGAUAAGCCGGUUGUGAAAGCCCCGGGCUCAACCUGGGAACGGCAUCCGGAACUGUCAAGCUAGAGGGCAGGAGAGGAAGGUAGAAUUCCCGGUGUAGCGGUGAAAUGCGUAGAGAUCGGGAGGAAUACCAGUGGCGAAGGCGGCCUUCUGGACUGACACUGACACUGAGGUGCGAAAGCGUGGGUAGCAAACAGGAUUAGAUACCCUAGUAGUA